rnacentral:rRNA from 1 species
UACAGAGGUCCCGAGCGUUUGUUCGGAUUUAUUGGGCGUAAAGGGUGCGUAGGUGGCAAAGUAAGUUGGAUGUGAAAUCCUGGGGCUCAACCUCAGAAUUGCAUUCAAUACUGCUUAGCUAGAGAGCUGUAGAGGAGACUGGAAUUUACGGUGUAGCAGUGAAAUGCGUAGAUAUCGUAAGGAACGCCAGUGGCGAAAGCGAGUCUCUGGGCAGCAUCUGACGCUGAGGCACGAAGGCCAGGGGAGCAAACGGGG